rnacentral:tRNA from 3 species
GGGCGGUUAGCUCAGCGGUAGAGCACUGCUUUCACACGGCAGGGGUCGCAGGUUCAAUCCCUGCACCGCCCACCA